rnacentral:misc_RNA from 1 species
CCGAGUUGUGGAAACACAAUCUCCCUUUCUUGUUGUUUGACCGGUUGCCUUGCCUUCGGGCAGGAUUAUUCUGAAUCAGUGUCGUCUGAGUAACAUUUAAUACUAAA